UGGGGAAUAUUGGACAAUGGGGGCAACCCUGAUCCAGCCAUGCCGCGUGUGUGAAGAAGGCCUUUUGGUUGUAAAGCACUUUAAGCAGGGAGGAGAGGCUAAUGGUUAAUACCCAUUAGAUUAGACGUUACCUGCAGAAUAAGCACCGGCUAACUCUGUGCCAGCAGCCGCGGUAAUACAGAGGGUGCGAGCGUUAAUCGGAAUUACUGGGCGUAAAGCGAGUGUAGGUGGCUCAUUAAGUCACAUGUGAAAUCCCCGGGCUUAACCUGGGAACUGCAUGUGAUACUGGUGGUGCUAGAAUAUGUGAGAGGGAAGUAGAAUUCCCAGGUGUAGCGGUGAAAUGCGUAGAGAUCUGGAGGAAUACCGAUGGCGAAGGCAGCUUCCUGGCAUAAUAUUGACACUGAGAUUCGAAAGCGUGGGUAGUAAAACAGGAUUAGAUACCCUGGUAGUCCGCGCCGUAAACGAUGUCUACUAGCCGUUGGGGUCCUUGAGACUUUAGUGGCGCAGUUAACGCGAUAAGUAGACCGCCUGGGGGAG
rnacentral:rRNA from 1 species